AGCUCCAAUAGCGUAUAUUAAAGUUGCUGCAGUUAAAAAGCUCGUAGUUGAAUCUCGGGUGCAGGCUUGCGGUCCGUCUCGCGGCGGUCACUGCUCGUCCUGGCCUCCACGCCGGCGUACCGUCCCUUGGUGCUCUUGACUGAGUGUCUCGGGCGGCCGGAACGUUUACUUUGAAGAAAUUAGAGUGCUCAAAGCAGGCCUUGGCCGCCUGCAUAAUGGUGCAUGGAAUAAUGGAAUAGGACCUCGGUUCUAUUUUGUUGGUUUUCGGAGCUCGAGGUAAUGAUUAACAGGGACUGACGGGGGCAUUCGUAUUGCGGCGCUAGAGGUGAAAUUCUUAGACCGUCGCAAGACGAACUACAGCGAAAGCAUUUGCCAAGCAUGUUUUCAUUA
rnacentral:rRNA from 1 species